rnacentral:lncRNA from 1 species
UGGCAUUAAUCCCUGAGUAGCUUCCUGGUCCCAGCUGCUGGGCUGGGGGACAUCGCCCACUCUCCAAGCUGCUCACAUACAUUAGUAGCCGCUGGAGAUGGGUGGGGGCUUCUCAGCUUCACAGGGGCAAGGUGCAGUGGCAGAGUAGGCCUUGCCCAUGAACCGCCAGGGUCCCCUAGCCGAGAUGAGUUCCCUCUGGCAGGCUGUGGAAGGAUCAUCCCUCCCUGGGUGCGUGACCCCCAGCCCCGCCCGACCUCAGGUCUAUCCCGGGGCCUCCCCUCCCACCUCCGAGCUCUGGGUCCCCCGCUGUAAAAAGCCUGCAAGGCUGGCUCAGAGUCUGGUCCCAGGGCAACUGUGGGGUUGGCCGUGGCCCCACCCUACUGGGUCUCACUCACUCUCAGCUCACCUCAAAGCCCUGAGGUGGGAGUCCUGUGUAGCCCCUUUCUGUGCCAGAGCACACCCAGACUUUUCUCUUCCAGCCUGGGGCUCAUCGUCUGAGGGCAGGGCUGCCUUUAAGACAUCGUGGGGUUCGGCCACCCCAGUGCAAGCUGCCCCCACCACGGCCCCUCUUCAGGCCCAGGGGUGAAUGGCUGCUUGUACCAGGACCUGCCUCUUCUGGACAUUUCGUAUAAAUGGAAUCGUGUAAUAUGUGGCCUUUCGAGCUGGGCUUCCUUCACUCAACGUCAUGUUUCCAAGAUCCAUCCCCAUUGAAGCUGGUGUCGGAGCCUCACUGCUUUCUGCGGGUGGGCUGGACCUGGUGACUUGCUUCUACCUGAUAGAAUACAGCAAGAGUGAUGAGAUGUCACUUCCGAGAUUAGGUUGGACGGAUGGUGACUUCCAGCUUGUUAGUCUUCUCUCGGGCUCUUCUUGUUUGCUUGCUCUGGUGAAGCCAGCCACCAUAUGGUGAGUUGCCCUGUGGAGAGGCCCAUAUGGCAGGGAGCUGAGGGAGGCCUUUGGGUAACAGCCUCUGAGAAACUGAGGCCCUCAGUUCAGUAGCUAGUGAAGAGCUCAAUCCAGCCCACAGCCACUGAGCAAGCUUGGAAGAGGACCCUUCCCUGGGGCAGCUUUGUGCUAUUGUAAUAUAAUAAAGAGUGUAUAUCUGGUUUUCAUCUAGGGUUCCUGGCAUAGAGUUUCUAAAACCACUGGAAUUUCCUAAGUAAAAGGGGUGAGAGAAGUGUCUUUUGUUACUCAUAAUAAGCCCCCUUCAACCAUACUUGAGUUUAUUCUAAUGAGGUGACUCAUGGAGGUUGGGGGCUGGUAGCCAGAGGAACCAACCACGUGAUUGAGGGUUGCAACUUUCAGCCUCACCCCCAACCUCCAGGGAGGAGAGAGGGGCCAGAGAUUGAGUUCAAUCACCCAUGGCCAAUGAUUCAGCCAAGCAUGACUAUGUGAUGGAACCUCCAUAAAAACAUUGGGUCUCAUGAGAACAACAGAAUACAGAGAGCUGGUUUGGUGGACAUAUGGAGGCUCUGGGAGGGUGGUGGGCCCAGAGAGGGCAUGGAGCCCCUCUCCCAUACCUCGAUUAUACAUCUCUUCGAUUUGGCUUUUCCUGAGUUGUAUCCAUUA